rnacentral:pre_miRNA from 1 species
CGAACAACAUUACGACCGUUGGUCUACCGAGCAAUAUCAUCCGCUCGGUAGAAGAUCUUCCCUUUGUCGUAUAUC